AACGAACGCUGGCGGCGUGGAUAAGACAUGCAAGUCGAACGGAGCAAUGCUUGUAGCAAUAUGAGUGUUGUUCAGUGGCGAACGGGUGCGUAACACGUGAUACAUUCCGGAAAGCGGGGGAUAGCCCAGGGAAACUUGGAUUAAUACCGCAUGUGGUCGAAAGACUAAAGGUGGGGACCGCAAGGCCUGCCACUUUCCGAUUGGUCCGCGGCCUAUCAGCUAGUUGGCGGGGUAAAGGCCCACCAAGGCUACGACGGGUAGCUGGUCUUAGAGGACGACCAGCCACACUGGAACUGAGACACGGUCCAGACACCGACGGGUGGCAGCAGUCGAGAAUCUUUCACAAUGGGGGCAACCCUGAUGGAGCGACGCCGCGUGGAGGAUAAGGUCUUCGGAUUGUAAACUCCUGUCAUGCGCGAACAAGGUUGCUGGGUUAAUAACCCGGCAAAUUGAUGGUACCGCAAGAGGAAGAGACGGCUAACUCUGUGCCAGCCGCCGCAGUAACAC
rnacentral:rRNA from 1 species